ensembl:lncRNA
CACAAGCCAGGACAGGUACGUGAUGCCAGAACACAGGAGAGCAGCGUCCUCCCCUGCGGGCUCCCAUUUCCCCAGCCUGAUGUUGAACGUCCCCCUUCUUUCUCGCUAGAGCUUUCUUAUAAACCAGGUGUCAACAAAUAUAUUGGAUUCUUUAUACUUUAAUCCGUGUCACAUUUUGAAAGGGUUGAAAGAGUUGGGCACAUUAUUCAUUCAGCUAUAGCUACUUUCCGAUGACCUCCAGGGGAUUAGCAGGAUACCUGUUUGGAGCAACGUAUCCCAGAAGCCACCUCACCGUGUUUAGAAUCCAACUGGCACACAGCCUUCAGUGGGAAGGCUGAUGAAUGGUGUUCAGUAAAAAUUAAAAGCCUUGGAAAAGUACAGGCCCCCGGGCCAGAACAAAGCCGCUGAAUGAUGGUUCCUUCUGGGAGCAGAGGUGGGAACAUUUUCUUGCUCUGCUCAUGGGGAUAGAAGUGAAGUCAAAACUUCUUUGUAAUGGUGACUCAUUAUCGUCAGAGGGCCUUCCUGCUUUCACUGAGCUAAUUUCACCAGUGGUAAAUGAAGGGUCUCACAGUGAGAGCUGGGAGAGGAAGAAACAAAGUCACCGAAUCCCUAACCGUAACCCGCCUUGCAAAACAGGAGGGAGUUUUCUGAAGCAAUGAGGGAGACCAGCCCACCCCAGAUCCCCCUCAGACAUGUUUUCUUUCUUCCUGACUCAUCAGAUUUCUUUGGGAAAGCCUGGUGAGAAGGGAUUGGGAAACAGGCAAGGGAGCCAGCCUUUUCUGGCAGCAUGGGGCAUUUUGAUUUCAGAUGCUGCAAAUCUUCAGGAACAGACUCAGCAUGCUAGUGUUCUAGGCUCGAGGCCAGCAGCCUGAAGCACAUCAGAUGGUCGGCGCCACCAGCAAGAGACCCAAGGACUUUCCUAAGGCUGCACCUCUCCGCAAGUUUGAAGAUGUCAGAACAGAGUCAUUUGAUGAUGUUCAUCUCUCUGACAACUGAGAACUUUGGAAGACUCUCUCCCUCAGGCACUUCCAUUUUUGUGUCCAGACUGGCAGCCUUUCAAACUCACCAGAGGCCUCACGGAAUGCAACUCUGUGGAGGGCUGGAGGACAAAUUGAACACAAGUUCAUUGAACAUCUGGGAGAAAGAAGAGAGGUCAAGGAUGCUCCGGCUUAGUUAGCUUCACAGGCCAACAGCAGAAGCUGCUGGGAUUCCUUCCUGCAUAACUUGGGUUUGAUUAAAGGCAUUCUUUAGUCUGGAGACUUUUGGCCUCAUUCUGAAUGGGACACUGAAAGGGCAGAGUAGGGUUCUCAGCUGGCAGGAAGGAUACACCAAGCGCCCUCCCCAACCUGGGAGACACAAAAGCAGUGGUGAGUUAGCUGAGCCACCUGGGGUGCUUCUGUCCAUGGAAGCUAUCCCAUAUCAUGCAAGCAGGGCACUGACUUUGUAAGAAAGGGUAGCAAUGUGCUUAUGUGCUCGGAAGAGAAAACAUAAGGAGAGAAUGAGGAUUAGAAGGAAUGAACAUAAAUGAUGGCUGCUUUGAGGGGCUGGAAAGGAAGUAAUCCUGAGAAGAGGCCCCAGCUCUGACAGAGAUAAGGGGACUUCCACUACUUUUGUCUCUAUUUUAGAAGAAAUAAAAGCCAAAUCAUAAAUCUAAAAAUGAAGGUG